UACGUAGGGUGCAAGCGUUGUCCGGAAUUAUUGGGCGUAAAGAGCUCGUAGGCGGUUUGUCGCGUCUGCUGUGAAAACGCGAGGCUCAACCUCGCGCCUGCAGUGGGUACGGGCAGACUGGAGUGCGGUAGGGGAGAUUGGAAUUCCUGGUGUAGCGGUGAAAUGCGCAGAUAUCAGGAGGAACACCGGUGGCGAAGGCGGGUCUCUGGGCCGUAACUGACGCUGAGGAGCGAAAGCGUGGGGAGCGAACAGG
rnacentral:rRNA from 1 species